rnacentral:tRNA from 2 species
GCGGGAGUGCCCGAGCGGACCAAGGGGGCGGACUCAAGAUCCGCUGGCGAAGGCCAUCCGGGGUUCAAAUCCCCGCUCCCGCA